UACGGGGGGAGCAAGCGUUGUUCGGAUUUACUGGGCGUAAAGGGCGCGUAGGCGGUCGUGACAAGUCACUUGUGAAAUCUCCGGGCUUAACUCGGAACGGUCAAGUGAUACUGUCGUGCUAGAGUACAGAAGGGGCAACUGGAAUUCUCGGUGUAGCGGUGAAAUGCGUAGAUAUCGGGAGGAACACCCGUAGCGAAGGCGGCACUCUGGGCCGGUACUGACGCUGAGGAGCGAA
rnacentral:rRNA from 1 species